UACGUAGGGGGCGAGCGUUGUCCGGAUUUAUUGGGCGUAAAGAGCGUGUAGGCGGCCAGGUAGGUCUGCUGUGAAAACUCGAGGCUCAACCUCGAGACGUCGGCGGAAACCAUCUGGCUAGAGUCCGGAAGAGGAGAGUGGAAUUCCUGGUGUAGCGGUGAAUGCGCAGAUAUCAGGAAGAACACCCGUGGCGAAGGCGGCUCUCUGGGACGGUACUGACGCUGAGACGCGAAAGCGUGGGAGCGACAGG
rnacentral:rRNA from 1 species